UUGUUGAUUUCCAUUAAUUAUAACCCAUUAAUAAUUAUUAGGAUAAUCUAAAAAUUGAACAUAGAUGACUUUAGUGUGGUGUGAUGAUUAUUUAAGAACAGUGUGUUUCUUUAGAAGAUUAUGUUCUGCUGCAGUUUAGUUGGAUGACGUUAUCAGAAUUGUGUCCUGUUGUAUGAUGUGCAGAUAAACUACUGCAUCUGCUGUACAGCCGUUACACUGAAUGACCAAAUAUCACCAUGUUCACUGGUCCGGUGGUGAAGCCCUCCGUGUCUCUGCUCCCUCCUUCUUCUCUGCAGCUCUCUGAUGGAACGGCCUCUCUGCUCUGCCUGCUCUCUGCCUAUUCUCCACAGGGGGCGCUGCCGAGCUGGACAGUGGACGGUGCCGAGGUGAAUGAGGGGGUUCUGACCAGCACUGAAGAACAGACGGACGGCAUCUACAGCCGCAGCAGCACCCUGACCCUCAGUAAAGAACGCUGGGAAGAGGCCGAGGUGUUCGGCUGUACCGUCUCCCACCACGACACCACUCAGGUCGCCUCGUUCAGAAAGAGCCGCUGUGAAGUCCACUAGAAUUCAAGUGUACACUUUAAACCAUGCUUAGCAGUCUGAGGUGAUGUCAGUGUGUAGAUAUGCUGAAAUAAAGCUUCUAUGUAGAAAGCA